UUGCAGCGGUGUUGGAAGCACCAGGGAUUCUCCCAAGCAAUAUAAGAAGCUGGGAAUAGAGAUCAGCAGGUUUUGAGAA